GGAAAAUAUGUGCGAUUUACCCAUCUAUAUAUCGACGAUGGAAAGGCAAAAUGUAUUAUCCGCCAUCUAGUAAAAUGUUCAGGAGAGACGAUUAAGGUUUUAAAAACUUCAUAACUUUUAAAGUAUUGGAGAUAUCUCUAUGAAAUUAAGUGAAAUAGUAAUAAAAUUUAUUACAAAUGUAUACAUUUAAUAAAAAAUAACGUAUGU